AUCAGCACCAUAAUGAUCGUGAACAUUAGUGUAUUUGUCUUUGCCUUUUAAAUCAUCAUUCAUCUUUGGCGAAUGGCAAAAUUCGUCAUGAUUUUCCCUAACAUUACCAUCAUCUUCAACUUGACUUGAGUCAGAAGGCUCCUUAUUCAGAUCAAAUUUUUGUUCAAUUCUCAACCAUACUCGCAAACAACACACACAAGUAGAUGUACAAAUUCUUCUUCGUAUAUCCAAUAAAGAUGCUAACUUGUUGAUCAUUAGAAAUAAUAACUGGGGGAACUCCUAAGUUACUGAUAAGAGAACUUGGAAAAUAACUCAACUCAGCACUAACAAUCCUCUGGUCCAUUCCAAAAUCUUCCAAAACCAUCAUAUUUAAUUGCUCUAACGUACUACUCGCUUCCAAGGUGAGUAAUCUGCCUUUUUAACUGUUCCUUAUCAACAAUGAACCUUCACUCGUUAUUGGUAUCCCGUCUC
rnacentral:lncRNA from 1 species